AGAGUUUGAUCAUGGCUCAUGAUGAACGCUGGCGGCGUGCCUAAUACAUGCAAGUCGAACGAGGCCCUUCGUAUUCGUAUGAAGGUGUCCUAGUGGCGAACGGGUGAGUAACACGUAGGUAACCUACCCCGAAGAGGGGGAUAACCUCGGGAAACUGAGGCUAAUACCCCAUGUGCUCCACGGUAUUAGAUGACCAUGGAGUAAAGGAGUAAUCCGCUUUGGGAGGGGCCUGCGGCCCAUCAGCUAGUUGGUAGGGUAAUGGCCUACCAAGGCUAUGACGGGUAGGGGGCCUGAGAGGGUGGUCCCCCACACUGACACUGAAACACGGGUCAGACACCUACGGGUGGCAGCAGUAGGGAAUAUUGCACAAUGGGCGAAAGCCUGAUGCAGCAACGCCGCGUGCGCGAUGAAGGCCUUCGGGUUGUAAAGCGCUUUUCUGGGGGAAGAGAAAGGACGGUACCCCAGGAAUAAGUCUCGGCUAACUACGUGCCAGCAGCCGCGGUAAAACGUAGGAGGCAAGCGUUAUCCGGAUUUACUGGGCGUAAAGCGUGUGUAGGCGGUAUGGUAAGUCGGACGUGAAAGCUCCUGGCUCAACUAGGAGAGGCCGUUCGAAACUUCCAAACUUGAGGGCAGUAGAGGGAGGUGGAAUUUCAGGUGUAGCGGUGAAAUGCGUAGAUAUCUGAAGGAACACCAGUGGCGAAGGCGGCCUCCUGGACUGUCCCUGACGCUCAGACACGAAAGCUAGGGGAGCAAACGGGAUUAGACACCCCGGUAGUCCUAGCUGUAAACGAUGCAGACUUGGUGUUGGGAGUGUAAAAACUCUCAGUGCCGGAGCUAACGCGUUAAGUCUGCCGCAUGGGGACUACGACCGCAAGGUUCAAACUCAAA
rnacentral:rRNA from 1 species